UACGUAGGACCCAAGCGUUAUCCGGAUUGACUGGGCGUAAAGAGUUGCGUAGGUGGUAGUUUAAGCGAAUAGUGAAAUCUUGUGGCUCAACCAUAAGGCUAUUAUUCGAACUGGAUUACUCGAGAACGGGAGAGGUAUCUGGAAUUCUUAGUGUAGGGGUAAAAUCCGCAGAUACUAGGAGGAACACCGAUGGCGUAGGCAGGAUACUGGCCCGUUUCUGACACUGAGGCACGAAAGCGUGGGGAGCGAACCGG
rnacentral:misc_RNA from 1 species